rnacentral:misc_RNA from 1 species
GGAAGGAUCAUUAAUUUGUUGUGUAGCAAGAGCAGCAGCAUUUUUUGUUGUUGUUCUUGGCUCUACCCACGUGGUGUGAACAUUUUUCGACUCACGAGCCCCCUUUUUUUCUUUCACAAGAACCAACAACCCAACAAACAAACAAAAAACACACGAACCAAAGAAAAACAUCAAAUAAUAGAGAAAAAAACAACUCUAGGCAAUGGAUAUCUUGGUUCCCGCCACGAUGAAGAACGCAGCGAAAUGCGAUACGUAGUGCGAAUUGCAGGACUCAGUGAAUCAUCGAAUCUUUGAACGCAAGUUGCGCCUGCGGGAUAGUCCUUCAGGCAUGCUUUGUUGAGUAUUGAUUUCCGAUUUAUUAGGAUCGAGUGCGUGAUUUGGUCUGGUGACCUCGGUCACAGGGUGCAAGUCACGUGAAGAGCAGUCACGUGGUCGGUUCACGAGGAGGCGAGGGCCAGCCGGUGGGCGGCACUGCAACGAGAGAGAAUCUUUGUGUUGUGGUGUCGUCUGUAAUCCGGCGGGUCCUCUCUCUGUGUGUCUUUCCCCGGCCCCAGGGUUUUGCGACCAGCCUCUCAACCAGAGCAGGUCCAAUCUUUCUUUUAUUUUAUUUUGGGGGCGGUUAACCCCCACCCCAAAAAAAAAAAGAAAACCAACAACAAUACAAUAAAUCUCAACUAAAGCAAGAAGACCCCCUGAAUUUAAGCAUAUAAGUAAGGGGAGGAAAAGAAACCAACGAGGAUUCCCCUAGUAACGGCGAGUGAAGCGGGAGGAGCCCAAGGUGAGAACCGCGACGGCAUGCGCCGUCAAGAACUCCAAAAGAGGCGGGUUGUAGUCUAGAGCAGCGUGUCCCAGCGUGCGACCCGGUCCCAAGUCCUACUGGAAGGUGGCGCGGCGCAGGGUGAGAGCCCCGUGAGAGGACCGGAGUGGAAAGAUCGCCGCGUACGGCGCGCAAGGUUGCUACGAGUCGAGUUGUUUGGGAUUGCAGCUCCAAGCGGGAGGUAACGAGCUUCCAAGGCUAAAUAAGUGCGGGAGACCGAUAGCGAAGAAGUACCGCGAGGGAAAGGUGAAAAGAACUUUGAAAAGAGAGUGAAAAGUGCUUGAAAUUGCCGAGAGGGAAGCCAGGGAAAUGAUUGUUAAGGAGGCGGGGCGGUGUGUCGGGUGCUGGGGAAGUGGGAAACCAAAGACCUUGGCUAACCGUGUGCACACAAACCCCGCUGGUCAGCAUGAGUUUUGCAGCGGCGGAGUUGCGCGCCAGGGAAGGUGGCAGAGUGGGGUGCGUGUAAAAAGCGUGUUCCCGUUUUGUUUUAUAGCCCGUCGGGCGAGAGUGGCGUACCCGUGCGAGACUGAGGAAUCGAAAGAAGAAAUGUGAGGGCGGCGUGCGAACAGGGGAAGAGCGGCGAGUGGCCGUCUGGGGUAUUCUCAACCGAGGGCCAGGGAGAAGAAACUUCUGCCUGCCCGUGUUUACUCUGGCCAGUGUAGCCCGUAGAAAGAUUCCACCUUUGAGCCCCCUAACAGAUGCUGACGUAAAUGGUUUUCCUGGACCCGUCUUGAAACACGGACCAAGGAGUCCAACAUCCGUGCGAGUAUUUGGGCGUGAAAACCCUGAUGCGUAGUGAAAGUGAAAUCGAGGUGGUAAGGUGAGCCUGCUGGGCAACCAAAGGGCAAAACCCCUCCCCAUCGACCGAUCACGGCUUGUAAACCGAGAUUUGAGUGAGAGCACGGCUGCUGGGACCCGAAAGAUGGUGAACUAUGCCCGCGCAGGGCGAAGCCAGGAGAAAUUCUGGUGGAGGCUCGACACGGUUCUGACGUGCAAAUCGAUCGUUUGACGUGGGUAUAGGGGCGAAAUACUAAUCGAACUAUCUAGUAGCUGGUUCCCCC